UAAAAAUGCAAACGAAGAACUCUUGAAAGUGUUGGUAUCAUCAAAAUUUGCUCGGUCGCCAUGUUCGCCGUCCAUGUCGACACAGUGAUGGACCUGAGAACGGCGCUGUUGCCGCUGGUUCACAUGUCCAGAAAAGCCGAUCUCAAAUGCUCAUCCGAUAAGCUUUCCAUUACAGUGGUUCCCGAUCAGUUUCCGUUCGUUGUAUCGCUCCAUUUGGCGCCUUCAUUCUUCACCUCCUUUCAGUUUCUCCCCGAAGGCGACGAGUUCGAGGAGUAUUCUUCCAGGUUUUUCCUUGACCUCUUCAUCAGCAAUCUCUCCAAUGUCCCCGACGAUUCCAUUACCAUGACCAUGUUCCUCCGCGCACACCCUGGAAUCGCGCCCCUCAAAUUUGUCAUUCCUAGUGAGUUCUCACAAUCUUGAUUUCUUUUUCCGAAGAAUCUUGAUUCUGAUUCAAUUGGAUGUUGUCGGAUCGGUUCUCUCUUGUCCCUAAUUCUGAUUGAAUCUUGGAUUUAUGAUAUGCGGUAUUUUCUCGGCCUUUUGACGGUUGUUGUUGUUGCUGUGAUUCUAAUUGAAUUGAAUGUCGUCAUUCCGGUGAUUUCUUGAUUGAGGAUCAUUUCUCCCUUGUCCCUAAUUCUGAUUGAAUCUUGGAUUUAUGAUAUGCGGUAUUUUCUCGGCCUUUUGAUGGUUGUUGUUGCGAUUCUAAUUGAAUUGAAUGUCGUCAUCGCCGUGAUUUCUUGAUUGAGGAUCAUUUCUCUCUUGUCCCUAAUUCUAAUUCAAUCUUGAAUUUGUAAUAUUAAACAAUUGUUGCUGUUUUGGUUUCAAGAACUAGGUCGAAUUUCAUAUAUGGGACUAAAAGAACGAACAGCGCCUUGAAUUGUUGCGGUGAUUUCUUGAUCGAGGAUGAUUUCUCUCUGGUCUAUAAUUUUGCCUCAUUGAGUAGUAGCACAUUCCUGUUCUCUGUUCAAUCUUUAAAUUGUUAGUAUUGAUUUUCAGGUACUGGAUAUUUGCAAUACUCUGCAUUGGUAUUGUCACCUCCCCUAAACAUUGUUCAUGUAAAAGAAAAGUCUUAAGUUUCUGAAUUUGACUUCUUCUUCAACAGUUCGUAUUAAGCUAACUAAGUCGAAGGUGAAGAUCUCUGCUCAGUCUGGGGAGGUUGUUCUCAAGCCAAAGAAUAAACAGUGUGUGAUUGGGGGCGUUACGCCAGGAGCGACAAUUCAGUUCGAGAUCACUUUGGAUCCCACAUUCUUUUUCUUUCAUUUGACGUAUCUGUCCAGGUGGGUGUGGCUGUUCAAGACAGUUAGUUCCCGCAGUGUGUUGAGUUUCUGUACAGAGCUAGAAUCUUGCUAUCUGGUCUGUUUUUGACUUUGGAAGAGCUAAUGCUGCUGUGAGUUCCUCAAAUGAGUUUUCUUUGAUUUGCAUUCUUUCUUUUGUGCAUAAAACUUAGGCAUUUUUCCCACUAGGAUUUAGCUUCUUGUUCAUGUAUAUAGAAUUCUUUGUUUAUUCUGUUCAAAUUGCCCGAAUUGGAGCAAAUAGAUGAAUUUUGCAUAA